rnacentral:rRNA from 1 species
AUGAUUUCCCCGGAUGUGGCUCGCGACGUCGUCGGCAAUGUCAUCUCCUUCGGCCUCUUCCUCUCCCCUGUGCCGACGUUAUGGCGGAUCAUCAAGAACAAGGACGUGGAGGAGUUCAAGUCGGACCCGUACCUAGCGACGCUGCUCAACUGCAUGCUCUGGGUGUUCUACGGCAUCCUCUACGUCAUAUUCGGCUCGGCAAUGUACGCCUCCCUGCUCACCAUCAUGAUUAGCCAUAUUCAUCUUCUCCAGUCUCCAGAAAUAGUACAUGUGUCCCUGUACCAGUCUGUGCUUUUUGUGAUCUUCCCUUGCCAACUCUAUGAGAUGAUCACGUUGAAACGGAAAAGGGAUCCUAUAUGUCGGUUUCUUCUCGUGGGUCAUGUGGUCCAGGGUAAAGUGAUCAAGAACAAGAGUGUCGAGUACAUGCCCUUCUUCCUGUCGCUGGUGAGCUUCCUCAACGGCGUCUGCUGGACGUCCUACGCUCUCAUCAAAUUCGACCUCUACGUCACAAUCCCCAAUGGCCUCGGUGCGCUAUUCAGCCUCGUCCUGUACGCCUGCUACUACAGGCCGACCCCCAAGAAGGAGAAGAGCGUAAAGCUCAAAUGUGAUUGA